CCCACUCCCCAACCCCUGCACCCCCACCAUUUUCUCUCCUCCAUUCAUAAAUUCAACUAUUCAAAGUUAGCUUACGUGCUGUAGGUACUGUGCUAGAUGCUGGGGAAAAUCUGGAAAUGAAGUCCCUGCCUUAAACAGCUGCCAGUCAUACUCACUGGCACAGUCACAGGCAUCCCUGUGAGCAGACUGGUGCUAACACCAGGGCCUUCCUACCAUCCUUACGUCAGAGUUACCCAAUGGCACAGAGGAUCUUGGUUUUAGUAGCAGGUGGGCAUUGCAACCCAGGAAAGUGAGCAAUACAUUGAAACCAACUCUUCAAGAGGAGGCUUGUGGCACCACCAUGAAGGAAUUGAAAUAAUUCAGGCAAGAGUCACUCUGAUGGGACCAAGGGUACAAACUUUCAUUGCUUGUGUUCUAGAGUCCAGGACCCUGGGCCUCAAAUUCUCACCUUGCAUGUGAGGACUGUGAUGGAUUAGCCUAUCUUAUCUGCCUGUUUCUUCACAAUAAAUGGGAUAAGAUAAGAUUACAUUGAAGAGUUAAGGAAGUAGUUCAAUAGGUCACUUCAUGUAAAAAUACUCAUCGAAUGCCUUGUGCAUUGCUUAGUAAAUGCUAUAUUCUAUUAUGAUUGGUAUCAUCAGUGUGGAGCCUCUGAACUGGGCAAUUCUAAGGGAAGCCCCUCACACUGUACCUCAUAGGAAAAGCUCUCCCUGGGAUUGUGCAGUUCACAAUCCUUGCAGCUGUAGGAAAUAUCCCCGAUAAUCAUCUCAGGGCGAGCAUGUGAAAGUUCUGCUUCACACAGAUUCCCUAGUUGUUUCUUAACAGGAGAACGGUGUCAUUUGCUCAUGGGCCUAGUAGAAAAUGCACCUUGAUAACUAACUAGCUAGCUAGCUAACUAACUAACUAACUAACUAACUCACCAACAAACUCAACAACUAACUAACUAACUAACUAACUAACUAACUAACUAACUAACUAACACUUAAGGUGUCACCAACCUUAAAUGAUGUGUCUCUAGAACAUAAGCCUGUUCGGGGAUGAGAUCAGGUGAAAUGGCAGCUGAGAGGAUGUGAGGGGAGACCAGAGGCAGACAGGAAGAGAGAAGGUGAUGCAGGGGAGGGUGGGAGGUGCUGCAUUGUGCAGUCAGCACCACUUACUGUUUGAUGAGAACAUCUUUGGUAAUAUCAUCCCACUGCAGGGGAGUGUGACUGAGACAUAGCUUUCUGCUGUGGCUACUUAAGAUGGCUGCCUUGUGGUUUUCAACCUCCCCUCUAAGCCUUGGUGCUCUAGUAGGCUCACACUGUGCCGUGCACAAGGGUUUGAUGGGGCCUAUUUCUCCUCUGCUACCUUGAACUUUACUCUCCCUCACCAAUGUGGUUCCUCUUCAAACUCUCCUCCUUGGGAAAAAGCACAUUAGCAGUAGGGUAAAGCUAGAACCUGUUUCUGUUUUUGUUUUUGUUUAAUCAUUUACAGAGUCCAUUCUCUCCAUGACUACGGUUAAACUCUGCUGAAUUUACUACAGACAAGCCCCAUCAGGCCAUCUCCUCCUCACGUCAUUGUCUUCUUCUUCCUCUUCUUCCUCCUCCUUUGAGACAGAGUCUCAUUUGUACCCUUGGCUGGCCUGGAACUUAUACAGAUCUACUGCUCCUUCUUUCUGAGUGCUGGGACUAAAGACGUGUCAUCAAGCUUAAGUCUUUUUACAUGGAGCUUGAUAGCAAUAUUUAAGGAAGGAUUUCAAAAGACCCACCUGCAUAGCUCAUGCAAAGACAGAAGCUUCGGGCCACAUUUCUUGUGUGGUUUUCUACAUUAUGGGAUUCAGAAGGAAUUGGGAAUGGAGCUUAGAUGCUCAUGAUUGGCUCUUGAUCUCUCAAACGCUGGCUACAGCAUAAGCAGUUAGCUUUGCCUCAUCUAUGAGUACAUUCUCACUUCUUGAUCUUUGGGACAGAGACAGAGUUGAGUAGGGUGUGAAGAGUGAGUUGGAGAAAAUCGACAGGGGUAAGUCUGAAGUAGGAAUCCCAAAGACAGUUGCAAGUCUCAGUGAGUCAGGGAGAUGAGGUAACCUCUUCUUUAUCUGACACAGCCAGUCCUGAGACUGCAACGGAUGACCGAUUAGUAUCCUUUCCAACUUUCUCACAACAGCUACUACCAUUGCCAUCCUACAAAUGGCAAGCCCAGACUCGGAGAUAUAAGAAUUCUUGCUCCAAGUCAUGUGGCUGAGAUAGAGACCACGGUGGUAUUAUUCUAAGCAUACAAGUUCCUGAUACUAUAUCUGGCUCAAGUUCAAAUAAUCUUAAACCUAACUGUCUUACGUGUUGUUCCCGAUACUAUCUGACAGAAGCAAGAAAGGUCUAGAACGAAAACAAGCAACAUGACCAAGCAGAUGGAGAAGGAAGCGUCCCUAAAGAGAUGAACCACUGUGGUAAGGAAUGGAUCCAUCACCAGGAGCGGACAGAGAGAGGACAUGGUGAGGCUUGGCAGACACGCUCCGACUCUGGUCUGCUGUAUGAACUGCACUCACUCUCUCUGGCUGUUUUGUGUGUCCCGAUCUGACAGCCCACAUGCCUCUGCUGCACUCCUUGGCCACAGGACACAGAGCACUGAGAAGACACAGGAUCUCAGCUGGUGGGAAGGAAACUCAAGAUGAAGGCAGAGUGUUCUUCGUUUCUCCCCAAAGGCUUAAAGCUCUCUAGGGACGUAGUUCUAAACGUGAGGAUGGAUGUGGGUCACUGGUCCUGGUCUUGGAGGAUCCAGGCAUUUUUUAGUUUGAACUUGGGCUAAGGGUCAAGCUUCCUUAACUAUCAAGAAGUCUGCAAGCCACGCUGGUGUACACGUCUGAUGGAGAGGGAUUCAACGGUGAACGCGGAUGAGCUGUGACACUGAGGAGGAAAUGGACAUCCCUAUGAUGAUGGAGUUCCUGAUGGACUUGGCAAGUUCAUCACAAAAAACUCAGAAGAAAGAAGAGGGGACUAGCGGAGGUAGAGAAUAACAAGGAUUGGGAGACCAAGAGGAUGUCAUGUGCUGGAGCCAAUUAGCAAAAGAGUGCGAAUCUUCUAAGUGGUUCUGGCAGUCAGAUGGCUAACAUCAUACUGAGGAAGGGAAUGAGGAUGGUGUAAGGACCCACUCUGCCUGCAAUAAAAGUGUUUAUGAAAGCAGCUGGAAGAAGUAGUGGGUGAGAUACAGACUCAAAAACCUUAAUCUCCUUGUUCCAAAGGUAAGUAGAAACGUAUCUGAGAAAUGGGCUAGGGGAAUGGCUCAAUGAUUAAAACACUUGCGUUACAAACAUGAGAACUUGUAUUUGAAUCUCCAACAUGAAUGUAAAUGUUACUUGGGCAUGGUAGCUCACCAGUGAUUCUAGGGCUCAGAAAGAGGAGACAGAGGAUCUCUAGGGCAAGCUGGCUAGCCAAUAUUUGAUGUAUUGGAGAAUUCUGGGUUCAAUUGAGAGAACCUGACUCAAUGAAGAAGGUGGAGAGCAACAGUAGAAGACUUGGGGCUCUGCACAUGUCCAUAUCUGUGCAGGAACAAACCCAUGCACAUGUACCCACACAUAUUUGGAUAUGUACACCCAUGCUCCUGUGCACCACACGCAUAUGCCUGGAAGGAAGGAGGAAACAUAAGGGUCUGAAUUAGUAGCUCAGCUAUGAUGGGCAAGCUAUGACUGGUGGGAGUUUGGCUAACCAAACUUUUCCUGAAACUUGAAGCGGAGUGUGAGCAAAGGGUCUUGGGCUGGAGCCAUCAAGGCGAUCUGGAGAUGUUCGUCAAUUAGCAGCUGUCAGGUCUUGGCAGUCCAGCGUGGUGUGGCCAUGUUA
rnacentral:sRNA from 1 species